GACGAACGCUGGCGACGUGCCUAAUACAUGCAAGUAGAACGCUGAAGGAGGAGCUUGCUCUUCUGGAUGAGUUGCGAACGGGUGAGUAACGCGUAGGUAACCUGCCUGGUAGCGGGGGAUAACUAUUGGAAACGAUAGCUAAUACCGCAUAAUAGUAGAUGUUGCAUGAUAUUUACUUAAAAGGUGCAAUUGCACCACUACCAGAUGGACCUGCGUUGUAUUAGCUAGUUGGUGGGGUAACGGCUCACCAAGGCGACGAUACAUAGCCGACCUGAGAGGGUGAUCGGCCACACUGGGACUGAGACACGGCCCAGACUCCUACGGGAGGCAGCAGUAGGGAAUCUUCGGCAAUGGACGAAAGUCUGACCGAGCAACGCCGCGUGAGUGAAGAAGGUUUUCGGAUCGUAAAGCUCUGUUGUAAGAGAAGAACGAGUGUGAGAGUGGAAAGUUCACACUGUGACGGUAUCUUACCAGAAAGGGACGGCUAACUACGUG
rnacentral:rRNA from 1 species